rnacentral:rRNA from 1 species
GAUGAACGCUGGCGGCGUGCCUAAUACAUGCAAGUCGAGCGAACAGACGAGGAGCUUGCUCCUCUGACGUUAGCGGCGGACGGGUGAGUAACACGUGGAUAACCUACCUAUAAGACUGGGAUAACUUCGGGAAACCGGAGCUAAUACCGGAUAAUAUAUUGAACCGCAUGGUUCAAUAGUGAAAGACGGUUUUGCUGUCACUUAUAGAUGGAUCCGCGCCGCAUUAGCUAGUUGGUAAGGUAACGGCUUACCAAGGCAACGAUGCGUAGCCGACCUGAGAGGGUGAUCGGCCACACUGGAAAUGAGACACGGUCCAGACUCCUACGGGAGGCAGCAGUAGGGAAUCUUCCGCAAUGGGCGAAAGCCUGACGGAGCAACGCCGCGUGAGUGAUGAAGGUCUUCGGAUCGUAAAACUCUGUUAUUAGGGAAGAACAAAUGUGUAAGUAACUAUGCACGUCUUGACGGUACCUAAUCAGAAAGCCACGGCAAACUACGU